rnacentral:rRNA from 1 species
UUGUCGUCAGCUCGUGUCGUGAGAUGUUGGGUUAAGUCCCGCAACGAGCGCAACCCCCUAUCUCUAGUUGCCAGCGAUUCGGUCGGGGACUCUAGAGAUACUGCCCCGGUUAACGGGGAGGAAGGUGGGGAUGACGUCAAGUCCUCAUGGCCCUUAUGCCCAGGGCUACACACGUGCUACAAUGGGCGGUACAAAGGGUAGCGAUGCCGCGAGGCGAAGCCAAUCCCAAAAAGCCGUCCUCAGUUCGGAUUGGAGUCUGCAACUCGACUCCAUGAAGCCGGAAUCGCUAGUAAUCGCGGAUCAGCAUGCCGCGGUGAAUACGUUCCCGGGCCUU